UUAAAAAUUAAAAGAAAAUGGGUUAAGCCCAGCUCUCUGAAACUCUCUCUUUCUCUCUCACACGGUCUCUCUGUUUUGUCUCUGUCUCUGCACAGACCCAAAACCAAAAACCCUAAGCUCCCCCCAAAAUCGAAAAUGUCGAAGCUCCUCAUAUUCCUAACCCUAAUUCCUCUCCUCCCAAUUCUCACCACCCCCUUCUCUCCCGAAAACCCUUCGAGUCGCCGAGUCCUCGUCUUGCUCGACGACCUCGCCCUCAAAUCCUCGCACUCCGUCUUCUUCAACUCCCUCCAGUCUCGUGGAUUCCACCUCAAUUUCAAUAUCAAUUGAGACGAAUGGAGGUUUUGGAGGAUCCAUUGAUUUGGUGGCUAUACUGGAUUUUGUUGAUUCGGGUCAUGAUUUGAUUAUUGCGGCCAAUCUGAUUUGAUCAGAGAAAUUGCCACUGAGAGUGGAGUUGAUUUUGAUGAGGUGCGUAUUAGUAUGUAAACAUUUUGAUCACCCAAUAUAUGUUCAAUUUCUAUAGUGUGUUUUGACUUCUUUGUGGUUUAAACUUCAUGUUUGAGACUUUGGCAUAGAUGCAGCUACUUUAAUAUACUCUCAAUAUGCUUUAGUAAAAUUAAUGGAAAUGACUGUCCAUACCAAGUGGCGCUUCUGUUA